UGGGGAAUUUUGCACAAUGGGGGAAACCCUGAUGCAGCGACGCCGCGUGAUUUAGAAGGCCUUCGGGUUGUAAAAAUCUUUUCUAUGGGAAGAAAAUGACAGUACCAUAGGAAUAAGGACCGGCUAAUUACGUGCCAGCAGCCGCGGUAAUACGUAAGGUCCGAGCGUUGUCCGGAAUCAUUGGGCGUAAAGGGUACGUAGGCGGGUAAGCAAGUUAGAAGUGAAAUCCUGUAGCUCAACUACAGUAAGCUUUUAAAACUGCUCAUCUUGAGAUAUGGAAGGGAAAGUGGAAUUCCUAGUGUAGCGGUGAAAUGCGCAGAUAUUAGGAGGAAUACCGGUGGCGAAGGCGACUUUCUGGCCAUAAUCUGACACUGAGGUACGAAAGCGUGGGUAGCAAACAGG
rnacentral:rRNA from 1 species